rnacentral:misc_RNA from 1 species
GCUAGACCCAAUAUCUGAAGGUGGCAAAGACAAAGACCAGCAUUGCUUAACAAGCAAUGGUAUCAUUCGCUCAAGAUGAAUGCAGGAUGAGAUGCCCCUAGAUUUCUUGAAAUUCUGAUAAUGUCGAGGAGAUGGAACAUUGAAGAAAGAACUAGAAUGCGUAGAAGGUGAAAUGCCAAGUAAUUGCUCCCCAAAAUUCAGUAUGCCUUUAAGCUUCAUUCCUGGUAUGCAGAUUAGCAUUCGCAUGUAGACCCUUGCAUUGUCUCGAACCUCCAAAUCAGGGAAGUAUAGACAAGUGAAUGCAAGAAGGCGAGAUAAUCCAAGGAACAAUCUAGAGCUAUGAUGGUGCAUCAGCAUAGUUCGGCAAAUGCCAAGGACUUUACUUCCCUGCGACCACGAUUUCAGUCCAGUAUUGGGACCAUGUUUCUCAACAAGGAAAACCAUAAACUUGGUAAGUAGGUCUAGCAAUGUCGAAGGAGGUAUUGAAUUAUUUUCUGCUAUUCUAUCAAAUACUGGGAAGUAAGAAACCAAUUGGUAAUCUAUUUUGACUUUUGGAAGCAAAUACUUGUCAACCGACUGAAGUAGGCGCUCUCCCAACCAACAAUGCUUUUGGCAGCUUAAUAAACGGUCAAUGAAAGAAACAACAACAGGGACCAACCUUAGAAUAUCCAAUGUCAAACCCACCAGCAUCCCCUGCAGUGUAUGGAAGAUAACGGAGUUCAUCAGGGUUCUAGUUGGGGAAGGAUCAGUGUCAGAAUGAGAUGAAGCACCUAUCAAAAAUUUAUGAAAGGCACGGAAUGCAACAGCAGUUUCAGUGCUCCAGGGAG